UGGGUUGUGGCUCCAUGGUAGAGCACUCACCUGGCAUGUGUGAGGCACUGGGUUCUAUUCUCAGCACCAA
rnacentral:tRNA from 1 species